rnacentral:rRNA from 1 species
AACGAACGCUGGCGGCAGGCUUAACACAUGCAAGUCGAGCGCCCCUUCGGGGGAGCGGCGGACGGGUGAGUAACGCGUGGGAAUGUACCCUUAGGUAAGGAAUAACCGCUGGAAACGGCGGGUAAUACCUUAUGAUGUCUUCGGACCAAAGAUUUAUCGCCUAAGGAUCGGCCCGCGUUGGAUUAGGUAGUUGGUGGGGUCAAAGCCCACCAAGCCGACGAUCCAUAGCUGGUUUGAGAGGAUGAUCAGCCACACUGGGACUGAGACACGGCCCAGACUCCUACGGGAGGCAGCAGUGGGGAAUCUUGGACAAUGGGGGAAACCCUGAUCCAGCCAUGCCGCGUGAGCGAUGACGGCCUUAGGGUUGUAAAGCUCUUUCACCGGUGACGAUAAUGACGGUAGCCGGAGAAGAAGCCCCGGCUAACUCCG